AUUGCAAGUCGGCUCAUCGCUCUGAUUCCAUCAUUACAGGAGUCAGAGAGGAAAGUCCGGGCAGCGUAGAGCGCCGCACUUCCUAACAGGAAGGAGCCUAUUCAGGAAUGGAUAGGCGACAGAUAGUGCCACAGAAAACAAACUUCCCUUUUGGUUUUUCAAAUGGGUAAAGGUGAAAAGGUGAGGUAAGAGCUCACCGGCUCUUGUGUGAGCAAGAGUGCAUGGUAAACCUUGCGGGCUGAAAGGCCAAAUAGGUUCUGCUCUAAGGGUUGCUCGCCCAAAUGCAGAAUGGGUAGGCUGAUGGAUCCUGAUGGUGACGUCAGGACUAGAUAAAUGAUGAGCAUUCUGCUCCGGUGAUUAUCGGAGUGGGAUACAGGACCCGGCUUACAGACUUGCUUUUUUU
rnacentral:RNase_P_RNA from 1 species